UACGGAGGGGGCUAGCGUUGUUCGGAAUUACUGGGCGUAAAGCGCACGUAGGCGGCUUUGUAAGUUAGAGGUGAAAGCCCGGGGCUCAACUCCGGAAUUGCCUUUAAGACUGCAUCGCUAGAAUUGUGGAGAGGUAAGUGGAAUUCCGAGUGUAGAGGUGAAAUUCGUAGAUAUUCGGAAGAAUACCUGUGGCGAAGGCGGCCUUCUGGACCGAUCUUGACGCUGAGACGCGAAAGCGUGGGUAGCAAACAGG
rnacentral:rRNA from 1 species